UCUCUAUCACUCUCUCAUUUCCUUCAACGGUACCCACUCCAUAGCACCACCUCCACCAUUAUUUUCCGACAAGGAUCACCGGAAAACUCCAUAGAAAAAAGAUAAGGCUUACUCAUCUCUAAAGGAGUUUAUUUCAGAUCGGAAAGAUUCACCUAUUAUUGUCUGUGUUUCUCAUUUCACUGGAAAACUCCUCUCUAUCACUCUCUCAUCUCCUAUUAUUUUUUGUGUUUGUCAUUUCAGUUUUUAGUGUAUUUUGUGGUUAGUGGGAUGACGGUAAUUUGGGUUAUUCCUUGCAUUUCCAACGGUAAUAUUGAUCAAAAGUGCUUUUGUGUUUGCAAAAGCUCAAGAAACCUGUUUGCAUGUUUUGGAUGAAUUCUUUGCAUUUCAAAACAUAGCUUUUUUGAGAAAGCAUGUUUUGAAACAUUACCAAACACUUGAUUUAUUUUUUUUGGUUUCAAAAAGCGCUUUUUGCCAUCUGAGAGCUGAAACAAACGGGCACAAACUAUUAGUAGGUCUCAAAAUCUAUGUUAGAAAGGGAAGAAACAGAGCAUCAAGGUUAUAAUUUGAUUGUUUUCAAUAAUAGAUAUAAAAGGAUCACUAUCUGAUACUAUAAAGGAACUUUAUAAAAUCUACUAUAGUAAGAUUGGUUAUAAUUAAAUUUAAUUGGACAGGUGGAGAACAUAGUUCUAAAAGUCCACAGGAAAGUUGACUCAUUGGCAGAAUUCAUAUUAGACUUAUUUCACUCCCAACUACCAAUUGGUUUUGUCCUUAACUGCCGACAAUGUUAAAACGUUCCACUCUACUAUGACCGAAAGAUAAAAACGUUUCACACACUUUCUUAAGAGUAAAAAAAAAAAAAAAACAAUUGAAAGGCAGAAAGGAAAGGAGUGGCCAUUUUUUCACACACUAAGCCAGAGGGAAAACUUUAACAUCAUUAUUUGUAGUCCUUUGGAAACUAGAAUUCAACAGUGCAAUCGACGGAGAAAUUACAGAUUGCUAUUCCUUUUGCCCAAAGCAAUUGCACAAUCUGUCUCUUAUCUUUUUUUCUUUUUCUCCUUUCAUCAUCUUUAGCCAAAGAAGUGAUUUCUUGUAAAGCAAAAUACAUCUAUGGGACUCUGUUUCUAAACUUCGAGCAUACAGCAAAAAUUCAUUUGGUGAAUAUUGUAAUGUCAAAGUUGCUGCUUUGUCUAUUUAAGAAGAAAAAGAGGAGCAAUAUAAAGAAGUAGAACUGCAAUUUAAAGAGCAAGUACUCAUACGUUUCUGAUUCCUUUUCUCAAUAUUAAGUUGGUAAAGAAUCGAGCAUGAAUUGAAGAACAAGUGGAUUUUGCGAGAAGCUCACGAGAAGCUAACCCACGAAAGAGCCAUGUGAAAAGCACAUGCUAGAAGUUGAAGAGUCAUGCCAGCUUGGAGGAUUUUGUGAGUGUCUUGCGGAAGAAUGUUGCUAUCAUGAACCAAGGAUUCUUUCACUCUAUUGCACAUGGUGGGCUGUGUGGCAACUUAUUUAAGAAGGGAGGAGAAAUGUCAGAGAUAGCAGUUAGCCUAGUUAUUGAAAAUUUGGUACCAUUGUUAUUCCAAGAAGUGAGAUUACUCAAGGGUGUCCAUGACAAAGUUGCAAGCAUCAAAGGUGAAUUAGAGAUUAUUCAAUCUUUCCUUAAGGAUGCAGAUGUGAGGGUCGAGCAAGAGAAUAUGAGCAAUGUUGAGAAAACAUGGGUGAAACAGAUAAGGGAAGAAGCUUACCACAUUGAAGACAUCAUUGAUGAAUACAUACUUCAUAUAGAAAAAGGUCCUCUUGGGCCAAGGCAACACUUCCAUUUCCUUCGAAAGUUUUUUCAGUUUAUCAAAAAGUUGAAAGCUAAACAUGUCAUAGCCUCAAAGAUUCAAGAUAUCAACAUCAAUCUCAAGGAAAAGAGAGAGUUGGCUGUAAACUAUCGUUUCAACACUAUUGAGCAAGGGGGAUUGAGCAACAAUACUAGAAAUGUUACAUGGUAUGACCCUCGAGUGGCAUCUCUUUUCAUUGAGGAAGAUGAGGUUGUGGGCAUUGAGUCACAUAGAGACAAAUUGAUAAACUGGUUGGUAGAAGGACCAUCUAAUCGCACUAUGAUAUCAGUGGUUGGCAUUGGGGGUGUUGGCAAGACCACUCUUGUGAAGAAAGUGUAUGACAACAAGAAAGUGGUAGCACACUUUGAUUGUCAUGCUUGGAUCACUGUGUCUCAAUCAUACAAGAAGGAAGACCUAUUCAGGGACAUGAUAAAGCAGUUCUAUGAGGCAAGAAAGGAGUUUGCUCCUAAAGAAAUUGACAAAAUGGAAGAGAUAAAUCUUAUUACAGUAUUAAGGCAAUAUUUGCAUCAGCAAAGAUAUGUAAUUGUUGCUGAUGAUUUAUGGGAUACAGAUUUUAUGGAAUGUUUAAAAUUUGCCUUACCUAAUAAUGACAAAGGUAGUGGAAUUGUAAUCACAACUCGAAAUGAGGAUGUUGCUCCCUCUCACAAUGAAUCUUCAUCCUAUUAUGUGCACAAGCAACUACCUUUACCGACAAAUAAAGCUUUGGAAUUGUUCUACAAGAAGGUGUUCCAACAUGAAGAGUAUAAUUGUCCACAUGAACUAGUUGAGUUGUCAUGCAAAAUAGUUGAGAGAUGUGAAGGUUUGCCACUUGCAAUUGUGGUUAUAGGCGGCCUUUUGUCAAGAAAGGACAAGGUUGUUUAUGAGUGGGGUAAAUUGCAUAACAGUCUUAGUUUGGAAUUAGACACUAAUUCACGACUAAGAAGUAUCCCUAAAAUUCUAUCUCUUAGUUAUCAUGAUUUACCUUAUUACCUCAAAGCUUGUUUCCUUUAUUUAGGCAUGUUUCCAGAGGAUUACUCCAUAAAUUGUGCAAGAGUAAUUCGACUUUGGAUAGCUGAGGGCUUUGUAAAAGAAAAGCAAGGAUUAACAUUGGAAGAACUUGCACAAGACUACUUGAACCAGCUUAUUCGAAGAAGCUUGGUUCAAGUGGCACGAAUUGAUUUUGCUGGUAGAACUAGAAGUUGUCGAGUUCAUGAUAUGUUACGUGAGGUCAUUCUUUCAAGAUCAGAGGAGUUGAAUUUUUGUUUAGUCUCAAUUCAAAACUACUCAAGUUUUGACAAAAUUGCUCGACGUCUCUCAAUUACAAACAAUGUAAAUACUCCAUUGCAAAGUAUUUCUAAUUCCCAAACUCGUUCUAUUCUCAUUUUUGGGUUAGACGAAGUACCCAAUUCUUUUUUUACUACUUGUUUUACAAAUUUCAAGCUCAUGAGAACAAUGGAUUUUGAAGGUGCUCCAAUUGAUUACAUUCCUAAAGAAGUUGGAAACCUAUUACAUCUGAGAUAUUUAAGCCUUAGAGAUACAAAAGUGAAAAUGCUUCCUAAGUCAAUGGGUAAAUUGCACUACCUAGAGACUUUGGAUUUGAAAUGUUCCCUUGUGUCUGAACUACCACCAGAGAUCACUAGGCUCCAUAAGCUACGAUAUCUUGCAGCGUACAUUGUAGACAAUAAUGUAGUAUACCAUAUUAACUUUAGACAAGCUGUAAAGAUACCCAGUGGCAUUGGGUGUUUAAAAUCUUUACAAAAGCUUUGUAAGAUUGAAGCCAACAACAAUGCCCUUAUAACAGAAUUGGGGAGUUUGGGACAGUUAAGGAAGUUGGAGAUCACAAGAUUGAAGAGAGAAAAUGGGAUAGCUUUGUGCGCCGUGCUAGAGACAAUGAGCCAACUUCAAUCAUUGAAAAUCAGGGCAACAAAUGAGGAAGAAGUUCUUGAAUUACAAUCAAUGUCUUCUCCUCCACCCCUCCUACAAACUCUUUUCAUAUCUGGACGGCUAGAAAAGUUUCCAGAAUGGAUUCUAAAACUCAACAGUAUAGUUAAAAUUGCUUUAAACUGGUCAAAAUUAAUGGAAGAUCCAUUAAAGGUCCUUCAAGCUCUACCUAAUUUGAGGCAUCUUCAUCUUCACGAUGGAUACGAAGGUGAGCAAUUACAUAUUGAGGGAGGAGGCUUCCAGAAACUCAAGACGCUAGGGCUUUAUAAGUUGGGAGGAUUGAAUAGGUUGAUAAUAGAUGAAGGUGCCUUGCCUCUUCUAGAACAUCUUUCAAUCGGAGAAUGCUCACAGUUAAAGGAGGUUCCCUCUGGCAUCCACCAUCUGAAAAGCCUUAACAAUCUGCAACUUUCUGAAAUGUCGACCGAACUCGUUCUUAGUCUGCAACCAAAUGAAGGCCUUGAUUUUGGAAAAGUCAAGCAUAUUCCCUUUGUCAAUUUCUGGUAUAGGACUCGUGGAGAAUACUACAAAAUCUACAAGCUUGGCGAUUCAGAAUUGUUGAAGCGUCUACAAAUGUGAUUCGUGGAGGACCAAAGUGCCCACACCACUUUCAGAAAAUUACGGGAAAAACAUUUGAGCUAUCAAGUUUUACUUGCCUGCGAAUUACAGUUGGUGUCAAAUGCCUAUGUUUCAAGGAUUUUCAAGUUCUCAACCAACCAGAACAUUAGCAAUUGUUUCUACCCUACAUUACUGCCUUUGUUAUUGUAUUGUUGUAAUUGUGUUAUCUUUUCAGUAUAAAAGCAUUUGAACCUCUCGAACUCAUGCUACUCAAAGAGUGAUGUUUUAGUUGAAUUGUUUUUGUUGUCAUUAGAGUGGUUUAAGUAUGCCAAGUGUUUCAUUGGUAUGCUCACAUGUAAUGGUUUUGAUGUGGCUAAAAAAUCUAUAUAAUGACAUUUGUUAUGCUUUGUGAAAGUAAAAUUAUGUAAAUGUGUAUGACAUCUGACCUAUCAAAAAACAUAUGUAUGCAUUUCCUUUAUUCAUGCAAAGAAAAAACAAAAUAGAAAACUGUUAUGAACGA